UAAGGUGUACUACAAGUCUCC
rnacentral:siRNA from 1 species